AUGGUGUUACUGCUGUUUUGUUGUUUCAUAAUGGUGUUACAGCUGUUUUGUCACGUCAUAAUGGUGUUACAGCUGUUUUGUUGUUUCAUAAUGGUGUUACUGCUGUUUUGUCACUUCAUAAUGGUGUUACUGCUGUUUUGUUGUUUCAUAAUGGUGUUACUGCUGUUUUGUUGUUUCAUAAUGGUGUUACUGCUGUUUUGUCACUUCAUAAUGGUGUUACUGCUGUUUUGUCACUUCAUAAUGGUGUUACUGCUGUUUUGUCACGUCAUAAUGGUGUUACUGCUGUUUUGUAGUUUCAUAAUGGUGUUACUGCUGUUUUGUAGUUUCAUAAUGGUGUUACUGCUGUUUUGUUACUUCAUAAUGGUGUUACUGCUGUUUUGUCACUUCAUAAUGGUGUUACUGCUGUUUUGUUACUUCAUAAUGGUGUUACUGCUGUUGUGUCACUUCAUAAUGGUGUUACUGCUGUUUUGUCACUUCAUAAUGGUGUUACUGCUGUUUUGUCACUUCAUAAUGGUGUUACUGUUGUUUUGUCACAUCAUAAUGGUGUUACUGCUGUUUUGUCACUUCAUAAUGGUGUUACUGCUGUUUUGUCACUUCAUAAUGGUGUUACUGCUGUUUUGUAGUUUCAUAAUGGUGUUACUGCUGUUUUGUCACUUCAUAAUGGUGUUACUGCUGUUUUGUUGUUUCAUAAUGGUGUUACAGCUGUUUUGUUGUUUCAUAAUGGUGUUACUGCUGUUUUGUAGUUUCAUAAUGGUGUUACUGCUGUUUUGUAGUUUCAUAAUGGUGUUACUGCUGUUUUGUUACUUCAUAAUGGUGUUACUGCUGUUUUGUCACUUCAUAAUGGUGUUACUGCUGUUUUGUUACUUCAUAAGGGUGUUACUGCUGUUUUGUUACUUCAUAAUGGUGUUACUGCUGUUGUGUCACUUCAUAAUGGUGUUACUGCUGUUUUGUCACUUCAUAAUGGUGUUACUGUUGUUUUGUCACAUCAUAAUGGUGUUACUGCUGUUUUUGUACUUCAUAAUGGUGGUACUGCUGUUUGUCACUUCAUAA
rnacentral:lncRNA from 1 species